GACAUUUGCAUCUAAAGCCUUGGAGGCCCAAACCACACUUCAGCAGGACCAUCAUCAUCACACCCCGCCCCUCGGUCAACAUUAGACCUGUGUAAAGUGCGACAGGUGCGUGGAGAGAUCAGCACCUUUACAGCUGCGGGGAAAGCAGAGGGGGCAUGAUUUUUGUCGACUAUAAAAACCCGACACUGGCCAGGCUGAUUCACAGGACCCGCAGGUACGGAAUGAGCAUGUCGACCGAGGCCCUCCAUCAGAGCAACCUGGAUAUGAAACUACAGGCGUGAGGCAGACAGGUAAAUGGCAGGGAACACCUGAAAAAUGAAAUCUAUUGGAUUCAAAGUUUUUGACAGUAGUUUGGAGUUUAUCACAGUGUGCCUCCAGAACUUCGAUGGAUAAAACUGCACUUGCUCUACGUUGAGCCACACGCACAAUACAUAUGGAUUCAGUUUUGUUCGUUCGGCUCGCGUUAAGCAAGUGCAGAACUUCUUCAGUUGCCAAACUCCUGUGACAUUUUAUGGGAUUAGAAACAUGAAUAACUGCUAUGCUCUAUUUUUGGAAUGGAAAAUAAGAACCCAAACCUCAUAAAUGUGAGAGAUCCAUAGAAAAAUGAGUGAGCUACAAUUGAUCACCUGCCUUCUGAAAUGACCAUGAUUUACAAUAUCACCUGUUAUCCAACACAAUGUUUGUCGAGCUCUCCACUUCCUCUCUUCUGUGCUGGUUUUUAAAUGAGUAAACUUCUUCUCACACAUGCUGCAGUGAUGUAAUGGCAAAAUAAAAUACUUCUUAACCCUUCA